UGCACAAAAGUCCGGAGAGAA
rnacentral:miRNA from 1 species